rnacentral:rRNA from 1 species
UACGGAGGGGGUUAGCGUUGUUCGGAAUUACUGGGCGUAAAGCGCGCGUAGGCGGAUUAGAAAGUUGGGGGUGAAAUCCCGGGGCUCAACCCCGGAACUGCCUCCAAAACUACUAGUCUAGAGUUCGAGAGAGGUGAGUGGAAUUCCGAGUGUAGAGGUGAAGUUCGUAGAUAUUCGGAGGAACACCAGGCGAAGGCGGCNCACUGGCUCGAUACUGACGCUGAGGUGCGAAAGUGUGNGGAGCAAACAGG